rnacentral:tRNA from 1 species
UGCCGCUAUAGUUAAAUGGUAUAAUAGAGCAAUGGUAAUGCUCCGUUCCGAGUUCAAUUCUCGGUGGUGGCAUCUG